CCGCGGAAAGCGACGAGAUCGUUACUCCUGCCAAGCUGCGUACGUAGCUUCUGUACUUCGUCGAUGAAGGUGUUCCACAUCUUCGGCCACAGCGGCGCAAUGAGGUCGAGCUGAUAGCGGAAAGCCACAACGGCCUUGCGGAAAUCAUGAACCUCCUCCGGAUUGGCAAUGUCCCAUUCGUGCGGGCGCCGCCGGCGGGCACGGCGAUAGGAUUUUGCGAGCGCGG
rnacentral:misc_RNA from 1 species